rnacentral:tRNA from 1 species
UGGAAUGUAGCCAAGUGGUAAGGCAGCGGUUUUUGGUAUCGCCAUCAGAGGUUCGAUCCCUCUCAUUCCAG